rnacentral:rRNA from 1 species
GAUGAACGCUGACAGAAUGCUUAACACAUGCAAGUCGAUGGGGAAGUGGUGCUUGCACCAUGGUAACCAUGGCGGACGGGUGAGUAACGCGUAAGGAACUUGCCUGCGGGACCGGGAUAACAGCAGGAAACUGCUGACAAGACCGGAUAAGGUCAUUAAGCCGCAUAGCUUGGUGAUGAAAGGAGACGCCUGCGGAGAGCCUUGCGUCCUAUUAGCUAGUUGGAGGGGUAACGGCCCACUAAGGCGAAGAUAGGUAGCCGGCCUGAGAGGGUGGACGGCCACAAGGGGACUGAGAUACGGCCCUUACUCCUACGGGAGGCAGCAGUGGGGAAUAUUGGACAAUGGGGGCAACCCUGAUCCAGCAAUUCUGUGUGCACGAAGACGGUUUUCGGAUUGUAAAGUGCUUUCAGCAGGGAAGAAGGAAGUGACGGUACCUGCAGAA